UAAAAAUUAGUUAAUUCAUAACAUGGGCUUGUCAAGCCCAAAUUAUCAGACACUGAUAUUUUUAA
rnacentral:tRNA from 1 species